UCAAAGGCUCUUUUAAAGAGCCAUUCACAUUGCAAUAAGAGUAUUUU
rfam:Salmo salar isolate Sally breed double haploid chromosome ssa15, whole genome shotgun sequence.